AGAGUUUGAUCCUGGCUCAGAUUGAACGCUGGCGGCAUGCCUUACACAUGCAAGUCGAACGGGCUUUGGGGCUUGCUCCAAAGUUAGUGGCGAACGGGUGAGUAAUAUAUCGGAACGUACCCUUGAGUGGGGGAUAACAUAGCGAAAGUUAUGCUAAUACCGCAUACGAUCUAAGGAUGAAAGUUGGGGACCGCAAGGCC
rnacentral:rRNA from 1 species